GUUGACCUCGGAUCAGGUAGGAAUACCCGCUGAACUUAAGCAUAUCAAUAAGCGGAGGAAAAGAAACCAACAGGGAUUGCCUCAGUAACGGCGAGUGAAGCGGCAACAGCUCAAAUUUGAAAUCUGGCCCCAGGCCCGAGUUGUAAUUUGCAGAGGAUGCUUUUGGUGAGGUGCCUUCCAAGUUCCCUAGAACGGGACGCCAGAGAGGGUGAGAGCCCCGUACAGUUGGACACCGAGCCUUUGUAAAGCUCCUUCGACGAGUCGAGUAGUUUGGGAAUGCUGCUCAAAAUGGGAGGUAUAUUUCUUCUAAAGCUAAAUACCGGCCAGAGACCGAUAGCGCACAAGUAGAGUGAUCGAAAGAUGAAAAGCACUUUGAAAAGAGGGUUAAACAGCACGUGAAAUUGUUAAAAGGGAAGCGCUUGUGACCAGACUUGCGUCCGGUGAAUCACCCAGCUCUCGCGGCUGGGGCACUUCGCCGGCUCAGGCCAGCAUCAGCUCGCUGUCGGGGACAAAAGCUUCAGGAACGUAGCUCUCUUCGGGGAGUGUUAUAGCCUGUUGCAUAAUACCCUUCGGCGGGCUGAGGUACGCGCUCCGCAAGGAUGCUGGCAUAAUGGUCAUCAGCGAC
rnacentral:rRNA from 1 species